AACACACUUGUAGGGGCUACUUUGAUGGAGUGGAGUACAGGCUGGCUUAGACUCUUGUGCAAAAAGAGGUCUCACUCAGCUGAGGAAGGCUCUGUGGGAUCAGACCGUGUUGGUGCUGUAGGAGGUGCUAGUAUCAAAUGAGUGUAUGUCAUUGCUGUACCUGGAGGGAUGUAUGGCGCAAGCACACUGGCUUGGAUCAUGUCCCAGGUAGAGUGUUGGGGCUGCCAGGCACUGCAGCCAGGAACACUUAGUGCUCACCUGGAAUAUGUUGCAAGAUAUAUUUAGAAGACUUCUUUUAUUACUGUUUUUAAUUACACCCAGCUUUUCUGAUACUCCUGGUGGUGGUCGGCCACAUGGCUUUGCAAAAAACAAAAGCCACCAUCCAGCAGUGUGUGAGCCCUGUGUCUGCCUGUGAGCCAGGUCCCAUCUGGCUGUAAUUACUAGCUUCACAUCAGUAGAAGAUGUGUAAUAUUUAAACACAAAUGUUUAAUGUUUGCACAGCAAACCUCAGGAUGGAAAGCCCUUGAUAAUCAGCCUUGCAGGAGAGGAGGUGGGUCUGCUGCAGGUGAGCACUGAGGUUUAUGGCUUGUAGCAAGAUUUGUGGCUUUUCCUGGGGAUAGAAGGAAAAGCAGCACAGCCCAGAAUGCCUUCAUGGCUCAUUCCAGGCAGAAGCUCCACACAGCCUUGUAAUCCUCAUUUCUUACUUGUAUAGAGAGGAGCUGCAGUCAGAGGUGCUCUAACCGGCCUACAAGCCAUGCAGAGUGGUACUUGCAGGAUGAUAGAGAAGUCACUGAAAUCAGCACAGGCUCCUUGCCCAGAGCAGUAGCCGCCAGGAUAGGAAACAACGUCUGGUGGAUCUCAGCAGCUCACUGUCCAGCUAACCCCAGAGGAGUGGAAGCUCUGGCACAUUCCUUGAGUACCCAAGCACCCAGAAACACAGACAAUGUACUGCAUUAGCCCCUAAAAAGUAAGUCUGAGAGCACAGCAAGCACUAGCUGUGACAGGGUGGAUCUUAUCUCUGCAGAGAAGGUGGCUGGUGGUGAGCCCCGGCCAUUCCAAGGGGCCCUCCCCUGCCUGCAGGGGACCCAGUCUGAUAUUUUGCUUAUGAAACUUUGCCCCCUCAGAAUUCUCUUUUGAUCCUUUGGGGAAGGAAAUAACUAUCUAGUACUUCACACUGCUCCACAUAGGAUGACAAGGAAGAGAACAGCUUUACCCGCUCCCAGGCACCUCUGGAAGGUGACAGACAUGUGCUGUCUGCAGCAUCCUCAUUUCAGCAUUAAGGUCCAAGGACAAUCUGGCACACCCAAGCCAAAUGACAGUCCUGUUGCUGCUGGUCCAGGUGCCACCUCCUGUAAGCAGGAGGCUAGAGCAGACGUAGGAUAACAAAAGCCUCCUCACUGUCCCAGGGGGUUUGGGAGCUGCUUCUCUGCUGCUUGUGCACCCAAGGUGGGCCAGCCCUGCCGUCGUCAUUGCCUCUGAGAUUGCUCAUCUCGGCAAACUUUAAAGCUGCAUCCUGACAGACCAGAAUAAAUCAAUCAAUAAAUAAAUCGUCCGUCUCGUCUGCUGGAUUCUGCAGUUUAUUUCCUCAGCACUGAUGAAAAAUAGUUGGAUGCUUAGUAGCUUCAUGAGACUAAUUAUGAUAAACGGCCCCAUCGCUGCUAAUAUCCGGCCAUUAAUUCCCAGAUGGAGCUGCAGAAAAUGUCAGGAAUGGAAAUGUCAGCUUUCUAAAAGGACCUGGCAGGUAUUGAAGUGGGGACUGGAGUGUCAGCAGAGGAGGGAGUAGGGGGAGAGCCGGGAAUUAGCAGGAUGACGAUACACAUUUGAAUCUAUAAUUCUUCUGACUUGAUUGUCCAGUUUCUCUCGGUUGUCUACGCUACAACCAUGGCUUCCUUUGGAUUUUGCUUCCUCGGAGCUCUGCUCCCAGCAAAGAGACAAAAGAUUUGGUAAUCAUUAAAUGGGAGACAUUUCUGUUGGGGAGAGGAAGCUCAGUCUUAAGCUUCAGGAAUCUCCUUCCUGCUGAGAUCCCCAGGAAUGUUGCCUUGUUUUGGGAGACAAAGACACCAGUAAUUCCCUUUACAUUGAGUGUGAGGUGAGCAGUCUGACUUGCAACACAAGGUCACACCCAAACUCAGCUCUUAUUUUCUAGGCUGCACAUUUGUAUUCACCUUCAUGUUUACACUGCUGCAAUAAUCAGCUGCAUACAAAAAUCAGACGGAAAACAGCAAAAAACCACUUGGGUUUUUUUUGCUUUCAACAGAUAGUUUUUAAUGGUUUCUCUGUGUUUGAGAGGGCUCUUUAUGGGGAAUACUCACUGCUAAGUGAGAAGGUACUUCAAGAGUAGAUGAACCAGCCAGACAAAUGAUAUAAAUGCCCAGAUAUUGAUGGUGCUGUGUUACUGAUGGCAGGAAGUCAGAGCGGCACCUGGUGCAAUACAUCAGCUCAUGAACAAAUGUCAAGAAGGCAUGUUUUGAAGCUGUUCUAAAUCCAAAAAUGUUGAGUUGUCCUCUUAUCCAGAAAGAUGUUGCUCUGUCAUAUCCGCAUGCUUGACCCUCUGCUUCUGGUGGUGCAUGCUUUUCCUAAGGCCUGGCACAAAGAUAUGCUUUGAUUUUGUUACUCUGUUCGGCCAACCAGCUCAGACACUGCUCUGCACAGCUUCUGAAAUGGUGGGGUUCAGGUGAGGGUCUAGCCCAGCUUUUGGCAUAUGCUUUCUAGUGGGGAAAAAAUCGGGACAGGUUAGGGAUUCCUUGA